AACGAACGCUGGCGGCGUGCCUAACACAUGCAAGUCGUGCGAGAAAGUUCCCUUCGGGGAGCGUGUAAAGCGGCGCACGGGUGAGUAACACGUAGGUAACCUGCCCCGUAGUCGGGAAUAACCCGGGGAAACUCGGGCUAAUACCGGAUAAGACCACGAACGCCUCGGCGUUUGCGGCUAAAGGCGGCCUCUACUUGUAAGCUGUCGCUACGGGAUGGGCCUGCGGCCCAUUAGCUAGUUGGUAGGGUAAUGGCCUACCAAGGCUGUGAUGGGUAGCUGGUCUGAGAGGAUGAUCAGCAACACUGGGACUGAGAAACGGCCCAGACUCCGACGGGAGGCAGCAGUGGGGAAUAUUGCGAAAUGGGGGAAACCCUGACGCAGCGACGCCGCGUGGGUGAUGAAGGCCUUCGGGUCGUAAAGCCCUGUCGUAGGGGAAGAACUGGCGGGUGGCUAAUACCCAUUCGCCUUGACGGUACCCUACAAGAAAGCACCGGCUAACUCCGUGCCAGCAGCCGCCGUAACAC
rnacentral:rRNA from 1 species